rnacentral:rRNA from 1 species
CUUGCUCCUUUGACGUUAGCGGCGGACGGGUGAGUAACACGUAGGUAACCUACCUAUAAGACUGGGAUAACUUCGGGAAACCGGAGCUAAUACCGGAUAAUAUUUCGAACCGCAUGGUUCGAUAGUGAAAGAUGGCUUUGCUAUCACUUAUAGAUGGACCUGCGCCGUAUUAGCUAGUUGGUAAGGUAACGGCUUACCAAGGCAACGAUACGUAGCCGACCUGAGAGGGUGAUCGGCCACACUGGAACUGAGACACGGUCCAGACUCCUACGGGAGGCAGCAGUAGGGAAUCUUCCGCAAUGGGCGAAAGCCUGACGGAGCAACGCCGCGUGAGUGAUGAAGGUCUUCGGAUCGUAAAACUCUGUUAUUAGGGAAGAACAAACGUGUAAGUAACUGUGCACGUCUUGACGGUACCUAAUCAGAAAGCCACGGCUAACUACGUGCCAGCAGCCGCGGUAAUACGUAGGUGGCAAGCGUUAUCCGGAAUUAUUGGGCGUAAAGCGCGCGUAGGCGGUUUUUUAAGUCUGAUGUGAAAGCCCACGGCUCAACCGUGGAGGGUCAUUGGAAACUGGAAAACUUGAGUGCAGAAGAGGAAAGUGGAAUUCCAUGUGUAGCGGUGAAAUGCGCAGAGAUAUGGAGGAACACCAGUGGCGAAGGCGACUUUCUGGUCUGUAACUGACGCUGAUGUGCGAAAGCGUGGGGAUCAAACAGGAUUAGAUACCCUGGUAGUCCACGCCGUAAACGAUGAGUGCUAAGUGUUAGGGGGUUUCCGCCCCUUAGUGCUGCAGCUAAC